UACGAAGGUCCCGAGCGUUGUUCGGAAUCACUGGGCGUAAAGGGAGCGUAGGCGGCGUGGUAAGUCAGAUGUGAAAUCCCGGGGCUCAACCCCGGAACUGCAUCCGAUACUGCCGUGCUUGAGGUUGGAGAGGUAGCUGGAAUUAUCGGUGUAGCAGUGAAAUGCGUGGAUAUCGAUAGGAACACUCGUGGCGAAGGCGAGCUACUGGACAACAUCUGACGCUGAGGCUCGAAGGCUAGGGGAGCAAAAGGG
rnacentral:rRNA from 1 species